CUCAGCCCACUCAGACAACAUGCUGGUGACUCUCUGUGCUCUCAUCACUGCUCUAACAUGUGUGAGUGGUGUGACGGUGCUGACGCAGAAACCUCCUGUUCUAUCAGUGAGGAAAGGAGAGACAGCCACCAUGGACUGUAACCUGGGGACUGUUACUAACUAUGUUGCUGCCUGGCAUAAACAGAUUCCAGGAGGAAGUCCUCAGCAUGUGCUGUAUUUUCAUCAUAGCUAUAGUUCUCCAUACUAUGGCUCUGGGUUCUCUGCUCCAAAAUUCACAUCCACUCAUCAGUCAACAACAGAUUAUCGUUUGAUCAUCAAGAAUGUGGAGGAGGGAGACUCUGCAGUCUAUUACUGUCAGACAUGGGACGGCUCUGCUAACAGUGGGGUAUCACAGUGAUUUACACUGUGACAAAAACCUCCUCACAGAUACUUCUGCUUUUUGAUGCUCUUUCACAUGCUGAAAAAAAGACACAUCCGAGAAACACACUGAAAUCCCACCACCUUCAAAUACUGUGUUAUUUGUUUUGUUUUGUUUUUUUUAAUUAAUUUUAAUAUUCAUCAUUGAAAAUGUGAAUAAAGCAAGCAGAGGAAUAUAGAGAUAUUAUUCAGCCAAAACAUGUCAGAAGUGGACUAAUACUGUAUAUAACUAACAGUUAUCUAUAAGUAAUAGAAAUUUAGUAAACACCAGUCUCAGCUCUUAAAUAGUGAUAACUAUACAUCAGGCAGAAAUAAAUAUAAGACGAGAAGAAAACGUGUGAUGUGUGAGGAUAAGGGCAUUUGCAUUUAAACUACAACUGUUCUGAAUUUGUUGAGACUUGUUCUACCUCAUGUUCUUAUAAACGUUACUGUUUAUUCUUUUCACAUAAGUCCUGCUCACAUUUCAGCUAGAAAGAGAUUGGUGUUAACACCUAAAACUGUCAAUAAUCAGUUACAUAAUAUUUAUUCCCUUUACAACAAUAGUUUCAUGAGCAAUAUGUCAUGACA